CCCCCCCCCCCACCCCUCCCCGCACGGACGGGCUCCCGGCGGGCCCGGCUUUCCGCGUCCCCGCGGGGAGCCCGUUACAGGGGCAGCGUUCCCGUGCGGUUGUUACCGGCCGGGGUCAGGCAGCGGCGCGACACGGCCGGCACCACCCCUCCCCGCUCCCCCCCGGCGCCGGGACUCGCUCCUCCUGAGGAUGGUCCCCAAACGCCGCUCAUUCACGGGAGCGGCCGGCCCUGCUGCCACAGCGGACCGCCUGAGACGCCAGCCGUGCGCCCCUCUGUAGCCCCAGUCACCAAUGCAGAGUCCUUCUGGGGUCACCGCGAACUAGCCUGGAUCCGUAUUCAUCCAAGACCUCAGGAAAUAACGUGCCUGCACACGUGCGACUGCCCCUUCCAGAAGAGAAUGAUUACUCAGCCCGCUCUGUUUGUUUCCUCCCAUUAACAUACUGCAGCCUGGAGAUCUCAAAAGAGCAGCGCGGAGCGGAGGGCCCCCCGCAGCAGUGCCCACAGCAUGAUGCAGGAUGCCGGUGCCUCGGGCAACACCGGCAACGGGACUUCUUCCCCCAGCAGCAUCCUGCCCGCCCGCGUUUAGGGGGAAGGUUGUUUGCAUCCCUGUCUUUCUGAAGACACUGCUCCAUAAUCUGCAUACUUCCCACCCCCCAAAGCAGCAUCACUGACACUGCCAUCAGAAACACCUCUUGGGAAGUGAUGCUGGUCAGCGUGGAUGCAAACCAACAGAUGAGGAGAACCUACAAGGAGACUUUUUCCAGGGACUAAGCAAUUAGAACAACAAACUACAUGAGAAGUAAAGCACAGCUAACUCAGCUAAUGAGAUUACAACAGGCACCAUGGUUUCCUUGCCAGGACACUUCUAAUCAUGUCCACAUUUUUAAUCCCUGCUAGCAGGAGACAAACAACUGUGCAUAAUUACUUGCAAGCAUAAGUUAACAGCUAGGUGUCUUCUUGGUAAACACAGAAAUUAAUUUGCUCCAGCUGCCUAAAGUUCAGAAGUUAUCCCGUGCCAGCCUUUGGGGAUACAUUUGAGACUCAGGUCUUGAAAACUCAUCCCAUAACAAGUGCUCAGGCAAACAAGUUUGGUUCUCCUACCUGUGCCAUACCACCCAGCCAUGAUGGGUUAGCACCAAGAGAUUUGAAAACAGAACAAUAUCCCAGGACCUCACAAUGCCGCCUGCCCACAGCUGCAUGCCAGCGGGCCCAACCUGGGCGCCUGGGUGGGGCGGACGCCAGGUGUCCCCAGCCACCUCACGUGCAACUGCCCUUCACAUCAGAGAGCUUUAAGAAGCCUACAACACACCACCUGGCCUCCAGCCAAGGUGUGCUGCAACUCUGUCCUCCACAGAUACAGAUAAUAGAUGUAUACACUUCCUCCCACCAACACUCUUGCAUGGCACAAAGUGACAGCUUCCAAGUGUGAGGGCAAUGCUGAUGCAGCCGGUAAGAGCUCUCUACAACAAAGCUGUGAAACAGCUCUACGGUAUACAAUCCACACCAAGCAAUGAUUUUUCCGAACACCAAGAGUUAGAGCAGCGAUUGAUAUAUUGUACAUGCUAAAGCCAAAGCAAGUUAAAGGCCACAUUUUCAAAACAAGAUAUUUAAUUGCACUGUAUUACAAGAGUAGUCACCCCUUACAAGGACAGAAAGAUAACAUGAAGGCAACAUACAAAAUUAAAACAGAUGAAAAUUAUCUUUUGAGUUCAGCUGUAGUGAAAGGAGUAAUCUUCCUGGUAAAACUUACAAAACUAUGUUUUAUUCCUAGCUUUGUAAUAAGUUUUCUAUUUGGAGUCAGACUAGCCACUUGCAGCAAAAUCCUGCUCCUGUUGAGAUCAGUGACAUACCUGCAACUGCAUUCAACAAGGCUGCCAGCUACAAAAAGAAAAGCAUUACUCCGAGGAGCUGUGAUGCCUCAGAGGUGGUUUUUGAAGUUCACCUUUUGAAAUCUGAAAGUACUUGCUACUUGCCUUGGGACUGUUGCAACAUCGGUUUGGACAAAGCAUAACCUUGCCUUCACUGAUUAUUGGGAAUACAAGGAAAAUGAAGCUAAAAAUACUGAAAGCAAAUUAAAAAGUCAUUCUCAGAAAAGACAAAAUAGAGAAGUAACACUGAGAAGUCAUUUCUUAAGAGGGUAACAGAGAUGACUUAGUUGUCUGCUGAGCUGGGUCAAUGAAAAUGAUUAAGAAACAACUUCACAACAAUGGAAGUUAUCUGAAAAUGCCCAAGAAAGUGAAACUAACACAGAAAGGACCAUGCAAUUAUGGUUUCUAAGUUCUGAUUAAAUAUGUUCAAUUUCUAGUACUUCCUGUUACUGCUAUAAAGAAAUGUUGUACAGCCAGGUUAAUGAUACAUUUUUCCUCCUCUUCUCGUUAGUCUUUGACACACAAGGUAUCUGAACAGGAGCGUCUCUCUGCACUGGGAACUGUUCUGAGGAGCCAUUGUUUCAGUCUUCCUGUAACUAGGUUUGCUGGAUGUUCCUGUUUUCUCUAUCUCAAUUCACACGCGUCUCUUAGAAAGAAAGAUGUAUAAAGCUGGACAGGCAAAAAGCACAACACUAAAGAACAACAUGGCAGUGAAGAAUGCUAUUUUUAUGCUCAGAGAAAGUGGAAGCUGAAAACGUCAGUCUCAACGACAUGAGAACUGUCAGCAAGAACAGAUAAUUACACAACGUGAAUUCAUUCUCAUGACAAUGACUCUAAUGAGAUAGGAAAUGGAAUAAAAUCAAUAUUCUAUUUACUUUGACAGUACAGUCUCGAAGCUUGAAAUUGCCAA